GGAAGCUUUUCCUGUUCGUCUGCUAGCAGCUAUUCGUAUGGUUCCUGUUCGUUUAUUUGAAGUGCUACCUUAUUCCCUUGUAUGCCGUUCGGGAGUUUGGAGCAUUCACUUAUUGGCGGUUCGUGAGUUUUGGUGAUUAUUCAGUAGCUGUGCCUGUCUCUGAAAAGGGGGAUUAUCGUCUAAGCGUUUUUUUCCCCUUUUGUGCAAAACGGUCCGUUACAAUUGGUGGCAAGCGGCGGGAUCGUUCCCAC